rnacentral:rRNA from 1 species
AGCGAACGCUGGCGGCAGGCUUAACACAUGCAAGUCGAGCGAGCGGCAGACGGGUGAGUAACGCGUGGGAACGUACCUUUUGGUUCGGAACAACACAGGGAAACGUGUGCUAAUACCGGAUACCGAAAGAUCGGCACGAGUCUGAUUAUCUAGUUGGUAGGGUAAUGGCCUACCAAGGCGACGAUCAGUAGCUGGUCUGAGAGGAUGACCAGCCACACUGGAACUGAGACACGUUCCAGACUCCUACGGGAGGCAGCAGUGGGGAAUAUUGCACAAUGGGCGCAAGCCUGAUGCAGCCAUGCCGCGUGUAUGAAGAAGGCCUUCGGGUUGUAAAGUACUUUCAGCGGGGAGGCGUUACCCGCAGAAGAAGCACCGGCUAACUCCGUGCCAGCAGCCGCGGUAAUAC